rnacentral:rRNA from 1 species
UACGAAGGGUCCAAGCGUUAUCCGGAUUUAUUGGGCUUAAAGGGUGCGUAGGCGGCUUAUUAAGUCAGUGGUGAAAGCCUUCAGCUCAACUGAAGAACUGCCAUUGAUACUGAUGAGCUUGAGUAUAUUUGAGGCCGGCGGAAUGUGUCAUGUAGCGGUGAAAUGCUUAGAUAUGACACAGAACACCGAUUGCGAAGGCAGCUGGCUAAACUAUAACCUGACGCUGAUGCACGAAAGCGUGGGGAGCAAACAGG